ensembl:lncRNA
UGCUCAAACACCCAGGGAUGUCACGUAGGCAGGAAAAAAGGAGGAUAAAAGAGGGUCCAACCACCAUGAGGGGGUUUCUGCCUUCAGAUUCCUCACCACGACGGACUCGAGGUGUCUGCCAUCACAUCCCUCACUACGGACCGUAUGCUGACGGACUUCCCUGGGCCUGCUACCUGAGACCUGCUGCUUCCUCGCGGGCUUACUCUGCGGCUUCUUCCUGGACCCACCCAGUACCUGCACCCUCUCGUUGCCCAAGACCGGCCUCGCUGCUCCUGCCCUUUGGCCUCGGACCAUCAUAACAACAUGCAACGGGACUACUGCCAGAUCCUGGUGAGAAAAGUGGAAGACAGAAAGGAGCAUUCAGCAGAGUCUAUGAAGCAUACUGGAAAAAUAGCGUAAAGCUGUAUGGUGUCUGUGAGACUUCAAAAUAUUUGCCUCACAGUUAUUUACUCUGGAGUGCUGAAGAAUGGAGACUUUCAGCUUCUUCUCCCUGUGCUCCUCCAACAACACAAGAGUGAAAGCUUGACAUCUCACUUCCUACCUAAGCACUUAUCUUUUGUGUCC